UAAAAUCAACCAAAUUCGCUCGAUCCUCCUUACCCCCCUUUUCUUCUCAUUUGAGAAACCCUAGAUCCCUUCUCAUCCAUCGAUUCCCAUCCCCCAAACAAUCACCUGCACAUCAUGCCUAGAGGACGAGAUUUUUAGCCUCAAGGUCUCCCCCUGACUUCGAUUUCAACAAAGUAGAGGGUGACCCAUGGCGCAUUUACCAGGUAAGCCCCUUUUCCCCUUUUCUUUUUCUUAUUUUCUUUCGCAUAUAUGAACCACAAAUCCAGAAAAAAUGAAAACUAAAGGAACUAAAGCAUUUAGAGAUCUUUUUCGGAAAUCACCUUCUGUAUUUUAAUACUCAUAGUGUGCGCGUAAAAAACUUACAAGUGAUUCUCUUUAGGCUUUAUAGUUGAGAGAAGAAAAAAUAAAAAUAAAAAAAUACAAUUUUUUGCUAUUUUCUUGCGUCUAUUGUUUUCUUGCGUUUGGUGUGCAGGUACGGGUGCUGUGCUGACGUACGGAGGCACAGGCGUGGCUGCUAGAGGGUAUGGAGGCUGGGGCUGCUGUCCAGUUGUGGCACAUCUACUGCUAGGGUUAAGGUUUGCCAAAAUUUGGUUUAUUAUUUGGGCCGUUUGGGCUCAUUCUGCGUAUUGGGCUUUAAUUGGUUAUUGGGUUGUUUUGUACUAAAGACUUGGACUGUAGACUAUUGAUUUGGUUUAAUUAUUUAUUUAUUUGUUGUAUUUUAUCUUGGGUUUCUAGUGGGCCCGGGAAAAUUGGCCCGUUUACACAUAUGUAUGAAAGUUUUUAAUUUAGAAGAAAUUUUAUGGCUGAUUUUUACAUGAUUGAUGGUAUUAAGUUCGGUAAUGCCUUGUACCCUGUUCUAGGCUCGGAAUACGGGUAGGGGGUUACACAUAGAGUUGAGAUUGCAGUUAAA
rnacentral:lncRNA from 1 species